rnacentral:misc_RNA from 1 species
UAUCCGUAGGUGAACCAGCGGAGGGAUCAUUAUUGGAUUUUGAAACUUCAGGCUGCUGGUGAAUCACACCGGAGGGCUGGUGCACGCUUGUUGCGCAUCAUGUCUCCCACUGUGCACAAAUCGUAGACCUGCCAGAAGGCCUAUGUUGUUUUUUACAAUCUUUGACUGGAAUAGAUUGGUUUUUAAACUUAGGAAAUAAAAUACAAAUUGCAGCAAAGGAUCUCUUGGCUCUCCCCUCGAUGAAGACCGCAGCAGAUCGGAAGAGAAAACGGCAGAACC